rnacentral:misc_RNA from 1 species
GAUGAAGAACGUAGCGAAAUGCGAUAAGUAAUGUGAAUUGCAGAAUUCAGUGAAUCAUCGAAUCUUUGAACGCGCCUUGCACCCUUUGGCAUUCUGAAGGGUAUGCUCGUUUGAGUGUCAUUGUACUCUCACACUCCCGAUCUUUGCAUUGGGAGCAGUGGACUUGGGUUUGCUGCUUCACCGUCGCUUACCUCAAAUAGGUUAGUGCAACUCUUGGUUGGACAUAGUACGGCGUGAUAAGUGUUCUUCGCCGGUGCCUCGCAAAGAGGGUGGCCGAUCGGGAUGUUGUGCUCCAAACCGUCUUCGGACAAUCUCUGACGACUUGACCUCAAAUCGAGUAAGACUACCCGCUGAACUUAAGCAUAUCAAUAAGCGGAGGA